rnacentral:rRNA from 1 species
GACAGAGGGCCCGAGCGUUAUGCGGAAUCACUGGGCUUAAAGCGUGUGUAGGCGGAUCGUUAAGUGCCUUGUGAAAUCCCAUGGCUUAACCAUGGAACUGCUUGGCAUACUGGCGGUCUUGAGCCACUUAGGGGCAACCGGAACAAAUGGUGGAGCGGUGAAAUGCGUAGAUAUCAUUUGGAACGCCAAUGGUGAAAACAGGUUGCUGGGAGUGUGCUGACGCUGAGACACGAAAGCCAGGGGAGCGAACGGG